GUUACAUCUCUCUCACCUGGAACUAAAUAUAACUUUACUCUCUACUCUGUGUUUUACGGCAUGAAAAGCCGUGGAUAUAACAUCUCUGCUGAGACCACUCCGGCAAAAGUCACUUGCCUUCACUGUGAAUAUUCUUGGUUGGGAAGUGUUGUAACUCUGGUUUGGGAUGCACCGCAUGGAUUGUGGUCUGAAUUUGAGGUCCAGGUGAAUGAAGGAAAUCCAAAACAUGUAAAUAUCACAAGAUAUCAGAUUGAUGAUGUGCUGUCAUCUGUGCAAUAUGAGAUCAGUGUUACAUCACUCUCUGAAAAAUUAAGAAGUGACCCAGUGUCAGUCGUGUGUCAAACCAAUGCAUCAGGUAAUUUUCAUGCUGUAGUAGACUCUUAAAAAAAGGUUAUAAAGAUCUGUUUAUCAUUUAGUAAAUGUCUUACAUAUUUUUGAUGCCAGAAACUUACAUUAGCUGUAUGUGACCCUGCUGUGAAAUCCCGGUUAAAGUCUCAUAAAUUAAUAAGGAGAUUUGAAGCAUCCAAGUUUGAUUUUGAUCAUUCAUUUCAGUCUUUGAAAUGACCUUAUUAAAGAUAUCAAGGCUAUAUUCACAGAAUGUUCUUUACAUUAUGUAGGAUGAUUUUAAAACAAUAAAUCACUAAAAAUGACUUUAGCUGGGUUUUUAACAGACGGCAUCACAUUUUCCCUUUAUUUUAUUUUCUCAAGGUGCAAUAGCAGGAUCCAUGUUUACUGUUUUCUUUGUAAUCCUUCUUGUUUCUGUUGGAGUUUUCUGUAUACACAAAAAAUUUGACCUCAGAAGAUGUUUUUUUGGAAAACCAGGAAAUGUAAAAAAGACUCCUAAUCUGCCAAUGGAUCUGAUCUAUGUAAACACAUCCACUCACAACACACAAGAAAAUCAGGAUUCAAGUGUGAAAUCCGAGAAUAAAGACAUCAGCGAGGAGAACCAUCCCUAUGAAGUCCUAAAUUUAAACAUAUAAAUGCUUAAACAUUUUUGAACCAACAUUGAAAAAAAUCUCUGGUUGCACAUGAUUGAAUCCAGUUUUCUUAAAAUGAAAUACAUUUUAAUUAAUGCUAAUUUCGUUUUAAGAAAACCUAAUUUAAUCAUGUGCAACCGAUGUCCAGAAGUUUUUUCAGUGCACUGAAAAAAAUCUCCAGUUGCAUAUAAUUGAAUUAAGUUUUCUUAAAAUGAAAUUAAAUAAAUGUUUAUGUCAUUUAAAAAAAACUAAUUAAAUCAUGUGCGACUUGUGUCCAGAAGUUUUUUUCAGUGAAUCUUUGU